GCGCACCACCCACAGAGGCUCAUAGGUGCCUUCUUCCACUGCUGUGACCGGAACACGUUCCCCAAAGCUCAUGUCUGGCGUCUUAACUCCCAAUGGAUCAGUACUGAGCUCUGGAGACUGGGAGACUCAGACCAGGAUGUCUGCACAUGGAAGCACCUCAGGGUCUUGAUUGUCUGGCCUGGGGUGCCAGCCUGGUACAGAGCCUUUUCUGGCUCCCCAUCACCCAACCCCUGGCUUCUCAAUGGUUCACCCUUCACUCCGUGAU
rnacentral:lncRNA from 1 species